rnacentral:rRNA from 1 species
UACGUAGGGGGCUAGCGUUGUCCGGAAUCAUUGGGCGUAAAGAGCGUGUAGGCGGUCCGGUAAGUCCGCUGUGAAAGUCGGGGGCUCAACCCUCGAAUGCCGGUGGAAACUGUCUGGCUAGAGUCCGGGAAGAGGAGAAUGGAAUUCCUGGUGUAGCAGUGAAAUGCGUAGAUAUCGUAAGGAAGGCCGGUGGCGAAAGCGAGCCUCGUGGACAGUUACUGACGCUGAUGCAC